GACGAACGCUGGCGGCGUGCUUAACACAUGCAAGUCGAGCGGUAAGGCCCUUUCGGGGGUACACGAGCGGCGAACGGGUGAGUAACACGUGGGUGACCUGCCCUCAGCUCUGGGAUAAGCCUGGGAAACCGGGUCUAAUACUGGAUAUGACUCCAUGACGCAUGUUGUGGGGUGGAAAGCCUUGUGCGGCUGAGGAUGGGCCCGCGGCCUAUCAGCUUGUUGGUGGGGNGAUGGCCUACCAAGGCGACGACGGGUAGCCGUCCUGAGAGGGCGACCGGCCACACUGGGACUGAGACACGGCCCAGACUCCUACGGGAGGCAGCAGUGGGGAAUCUUGCGCAAUGGGCGAAAGCCUGACGCAGCGACGCCGCGUGAGGGAUGACGGCCU
rnacentral:rRNA from 1 species